rnacentral:rRNA from 1 species
GACGUACCGUGCGAACGUUGUUCGGUAUCACUGGGCUUAAAGGGCGCGUAGGCGGUCAGCACAAGUCAGUUGUGAAAUCUCCGGGCUUAACUCGGAAAGGUCAACUGAUACUGUGCGACUAGAGUGCGGAAGGGGCAACUGGAAUUCUCGGUGUAGCGGUGAAAUGCGUAGAUAUCGAGAGGAACACCUGCGGCGAAGGCGGGUUGCUGGGCCGACACUGACGCUGAUGCGCGAAAGCCAGGGGAGCGAACGGG